UACGUAGGGGGGCAAGCGUUGUCCGGAUUUACUGGGCGUAAAGCGCGCGUAGGCGGCUCGUCAAGUCCGGCCUGAAAGCCCACGGCUCAACCGUGGAGGGUCAUUGGAAACUGGGGGACUUGAGUGCAGAAGGAGGAGAGCGGAAUUCCACGUGUAGCGGGAUGAAAUGCGCAGGAUAUCAGGAGGAACACCGAUGGCGAAGGCAGUGGUCUGGGCCGGAACUGACGCUGGAAUGA
rnacentral:rRNA from 1 species